rnacentral:lncRNA from 1 species
CCAAAACUCAAAAACUUAACUUUGACCACUGAACCAUGAAAAUGAGGUCAAGGUCACAUGACAUCUGCCCGCUAGACAUGUACACUUAACAAUCAUUCCAUACAACAAAUAUAGUAGACAUAUUGCAUAUGGUAUGAGAAAAACAGACCAAAACACAAAAAUUUAACUAUAACCACUGAACCAUGAAAAUGAGGUCAAGGUCAGAUGACACCUGCCAGUUGGACAUGUACACCUUACAGUCCUUCCAUACACCGAAUAUACUAGCCC